CAAAAAUUAUGUUGUAUGCAAUUUUAUGUGGCCUGCUGAUAAAUAUAAAAUUAUUUUUAAUAACAAAUAUAUUUACCUUCUUUAUUUUCCACAGCGCGGAAAAGGAUAUGCUAGUCAAAUCUACAGGACUUACCUGAAGCAGCAUGAUUUGCACAAGUUGACCAACAAAAGCAUCAACUUUUCAACUUCAUUAUCUUGGCUAUCAAUCUCGGUAUUAUUGAAGGAUUAUUAGUCUGCUGCUGAAGACAUGGCCAAUAUUAGGACCUUACUGCUCUCAGCAGGCCUGAGAAAUGAGUUGAAAUGUGAAGAAGAACUGUAGAAACUGGAGAGGCAACCGAACUUGCCUCCAUUAUCAGUGUGUGCCUGUUUACAGCACUAUAUAUCUUUCUUUCUCCAAAAUGUCACUGAGCCCUUUAGAUGUUUCUAUUCACCACAAGAAGCCAAUCGUACAAAUAGAACGUGCAUUAUAAAUGCAAUAUCACUGUUUUAAACUUGACUGUUUUAUAUUAUUUUGUGUGAUCAAGUGUUUCCCAAAUUAUCUAAACUUUACAAGACAGAUUGUGAUCAUGUUAUUUUCACCAGUGGGUCAUCAAAAUGUUGUUUAUCUACUGACCCACAAAAUAUCAAAGACAUUCUGUAGUUUAUACACCGUGUUGCAAAGUGUUUACUGUACUAUUUCAAAGCUUCUAAAUAAAUAUAAAGUAUAUAUUAUAUUAUAUAAUUUUCUGAAAAAGUGGUACAGUUAGUUCAUUUAUAAAUUGAUUCAUACAGACCACACUAUAAACACCAACCAACAAGUCAGGUCCUAAAUAAUUUAUCGUUUGACAUAAUUCUUGAAUAAUGUUUCGUAAUAAUAAAACUGGACCAAUUACUGUUCACCCUUUAAAAAAACAAAAAAAAAAGCUGUAAGCUACAUCAAUUUGUACGGACCUUUCAAUACCAAAGAUGCAGCUUUCCAGAUUGAGCACUAUGACCUAUUGAGGCAUAUUUUGAUCUUCCUUAUUUUAACUCUGUGGCUUUUAAUUUUACUAUUACAAAUAAGUUUUAUAAAAAAAUGAAUUGAUCUGUAUAUGUUGUUAAAACACAACGCUGGAUACUCUGUACAGUUUGAAAUUGUAAAAUAUGUAUCUGAAGAUUACUAUUUUGAAAGAUUAGCCCCAAAUCAUAUAACUUAACACGUAUCUUUCUCUAGCAUAGUUUUGUGGAAACUUGAAAAAUAUAUAUAUCUUCUAAUCCUGCCUAGAAAUGUUUUUUAAUAGACAAAUCAUGAAACAUAGUGUUUUCCAAUUCAUUUUUUACACAGCAAAAUUUAGGACCAUUUCACAUUAUUAAACACUUCAAUAUUAUCUGUGUCUAUGAUAAUAUUUUUUUUCAUGAUUUAAAUUGUAAUAUAUAUACAUAUAUAUAAAUAUAUGAAGAGG
rnacentral:lncRNA from 1 species